rnacentral:rRNA from 1 species
ACAAGCGGAGGAGCAUGUGGUUUAAUUCGAUGAUACGCGAGGAACCUUACCUGGGCUCAAAUGUAUGUUGACGUAUUCUGAAAGGGAUACUUUCUUCGGACAAUAUACAAGGUGCUGCAUGGUUGUCGUCAGCUCGUGCCGUGAGGUGUCGGGUUAAGUCCCAUAACGAGCGCAACCCCUGCAUUCAGUUGCCAUCGGGUAAUGCCGGGCACUCUGGAAGGACUGCCAUCGACAAGAUGGAGGAAGGUGGGGAUGACGUCAAGUCAUCAUGGCCCUUAUGUCCAGGGCGACACACGUGCUACAAUGGCCGGCACAACGGGAAGCGAGUUCGCGAGGACGAGCGGAUCCCUCAAAGCCGGUCGCAGUUCGGAUUGAAGUCUGCAACUCGACUUCAUGAAGCUGGAAUCGCUAGUAAUCGUGGAUCAGCCAAGCCGCGGUGGAUACGUUCCCGGGCCUU